rnacentral:rRNA from 1 species
AGAACGAACGCUGGCGGCAGGCUUAACACAUGCAAGUCGAACGCCCCGCAAGGGGAGUGGCAGACGGGUGAGUAACGCGUGGGAAUCUACCUAGUUCUACGGAACAACACAGGGAAACUUGUGCUAAUACCGUAUACGCCCUACGGGGGAAAGAUUUAUCGGAAUUAGAUGAGCCCGCGUAAGAUUAGCUAGUUGGUGGGGUAAUGGCCUACCAAGGCGACGAUCUUUAGCUGGGCUGAGAGGAUGAUCAGCCACACUGGGACUGAGACACGGCCCAGACUCCGUACGGGACGGCAGCAGGUGGGAAUAGUUGGACAAGUGGGACGCAAGGCCUAGACUCCAGUCCAGUCGACCGCGUUGAGUGAUAGGAAGGUCCGUUUAAGGGUU